ensembl:lncRNA
AUGGAUUAAAUAUCACCCACCGUGAGCCUGGCUAAUACAGCCAAUACAUAAGAAUACACCAUGAGCAAGCUUUGGUUGGAUGUGGGGACGUACAAACAGGCAUCUGCAGCUCUGCUCUGAGCUUCAGCUCAGCUUCAGCUUCUCAGACUGUGGCAUCCUCCCAAAAGGAAUUGCUAUGACAAAUAAAAACACUAUAGAUAUGAUUUCAGCCAAACAUACACUGUCUCACAUAAACAAAGGGUCACAGGGAGCCUGGAGCCUAUCCCAGAGGACUUGGGGCACAAGGUGGGGGACACCCUGGACGGGGUGCUAACCCAUCGUAGUGCACAAUCCCACACACUCGCACACUCAUUCUCACACUACAGACCAUUUGGAAAUGCCAAUCAGCCUACAAUGCAUGUUUAUGGACUGGGAGAGGAAACCGGAGUACCCAGAGGAAGACCCUAAAGCAUGGGAAGAACAUGCAAGCUCUGCGCACACACAGGGCAGAAGUGGGAAUCGAACCACAAACCCUCUUCCUCCAGCUGCUGCACUGAGCUUCACGGUGUGUUCACCUGGGACAUCAGGUCAGACUUCUCACUGUCCAGCUGAGCACUGGACUUGAUCGCUGGCCCAUAUUUCCCUUCAGCUUCAGCCACAGUGACCUGGAAGUUCAAAAACUGGCUUUAUUUACUUCUAUACCCCACACACAUUCAGACACUGUUGUGGACUUGAUUCGUCACUCAUCAGAUCAGCCUGAAAUGUUUUGCGGACACAGGACCAAAUGUCUUCACAACAUGACUGAACAAGGAUCAACACAGACAGUUCACAAUAGCAGUCAUAAUUACAUGAGAAGAAGAAGUUGAAAAGAUUACUCUUAGUGACUCCUUGUUGUGUGAUUGAGUUUCCUUCAUUUCAUCAUACGACAACUUCAGGUCACUGUGAGUUUCCCGCUCACGCUUACACUCCUAAAACACAGUCAUGGAGCAAAAGACAUUUUUAACUUAGUGCUAAACUAGCUGCUUCACUUCAAUGAAGAAGGAAUAACUUCAAAGUAGAGUGAAUUUUGGUCAUGUAGAAUUUGUGAAUUUUACGUUUUUGUUUACAUUACAAGUAUUUUUCUUUAGUUUAUAAGGCUGUCUUGCUGAAACACAUGUAAAGUAAAAAUACCCAAAUUAAAUAAAUUCAC